rnacentral:rRNA from 1 species
GUGCUAAUACAUGCAAGUCGAGCGGACAGAAGGGAGCUUGCUCCCGGAUGUUAGCGGCGGACGGGUGAGUAACACGUGGGUAACCUGCCUGUAAGACUGGGAUAACUCCGGGAAACCGGAGCUAAUACCGGAUAGUUCCUUGAACCGCAUGGUUCAAGGAUGAAAGACGGUUUCGGCUGUCACUUACAGAUGGACCCGCGGCGCAUUAGCUAGUUGGUGGGGUAAUGGCUCACCAAGGCGACGAUGCGUAGCCGACCUGAGAGGGUGAUCGGCCACACUGGGACUGAGACACGGCCCAGACUCCUACGGGAGGCAGCAGUAGGGAAUCUUCCGCAAUGGACGAAAGUCUGACGGAGCAACGCCGCGUGAGUGAUGAAGGUUUUCGGAUCGUAAAGCUCUGUUGUUAGGGAAGAACAAGUGCGAGAGUAACUGCUCGCACCUUGACGGUACCUAACCAGAAAGCCACGGCUAACUACGUGCCAGCAGCCGCGGUAAUACGUAGGUGGCAAGCGUUGUCCGGAAUUAUUGGGCGUAAAGGGCUCGCAGGCGGUUUCUUAAGUCUGAUGUGAAAGCCCCCGGCUCAACCGGGGAGGGUCAUUGGAAACUGGGAAACUUGAGUGCAGAAGAGGAGAGUGGAAUUCCACGUGUAGCGGUGAAAUGCGUAGAGAUGUGGAGGAACACCAGUGGCGAAGGCGACUCUCUGGUCUGUAACUGACGCUGAGGAGCGAA